UGUGAAAUCCUAAGAUGUGCUCACAACCC
rnacentral:piRNA from 1 species